rnacentral:rRNA from 1 species
AACGAACGCUGGCGGCAGGCCUAACACAUGCAGGUCGAACGCACCGCAAGGUGAGUGGCGCACGGGUGAGUAACACGUGGGAAUGUAUCCUUUGGUUCGGAAUAACGUCUGGAAACGGACGCUAAUACCGGAUGAGCCCUUAGGGGGAAAGAUUUAUCGCCAAAGGAGCAGCCCGCGUCUGAUUAGGUAGUUGGUGGGGUAAAGGCCUACCAAGCCGACGAUCAGUAGCUGGUCUGAGGGGAUGAUCAGCCACACUGGGACUGAGACACGGCCCAGACUCCUACGGGAGGCAGCAGUGGGGAAUAUUGGACAAUGGGCGCAAGCCUGAUCCAGCCAUGCCGCGUGAGUGAUGAAGGCCUUCGGGUUGUAAAGCUCUUUCGCACACGACGAUGAUGACGGUAGUGUGAGAAGAAGCCCCGGCUAACUUCGUGCCAGCAGCCGCCGUAACAC